rnacentral:tRNA from 1 species
CAGGGAGACAACAAAAUGUUAAAUAUUAAUUUUGUCACCUUAGGUCGAUCGGUAUCUCAGGUUCUUAAUUACUUUAAGAAUUUCAUUUCCUAAGUUUUCUCUAGGUCACACCCAUUACUUAUUCCUGGGCCAUUAGCUCAGGUGGUUAGAGCGCACCCCUGAUAAGGGUGAGGUCCCUGGUUCAAGUCCAGGAUGGCCCAUAUCUCUAUGUUGGGGGUAUAGCUCAGUUGGUAGAGCGCCUGCUUUGCAAGCAGGAUGUCAGCGGUUCGAGUCCGCUUACCUCCACUGAUUACCACCUCUUCCAUAAAUUUAAAGAAGGGAAUAGUUAUGAGCGUUGAUUUACUUCUGAACGAAUCUAGCUUCCUAAUAAAUACAUUAAGAUGCUGGACUCAUUGAAUUUUAUUCAUUGUUUUCAGAGAACCUUGACAACUGCAUAGAUUAUUUUUAAAGACAAUAAGCAUCCUUAAUGAUGCAGAUUUAUUAUUUGUGCUAAUGCAUUAAUAACAAUUCUAUUGAGCUGAUGCUUCAAUUAUUUGAAGUUAUU